UACAGAGGGGGCAAGCGUUAUUCGGAAUUAUUGGGCGUAAAGGGCGCGUAGGCGGCCUGACAAGUGGAAGGUGAAAUCCCUCGGCUCAACUGAGGAACUGCCCUCCAAACUGUUUGGCUUGAGACCGGGAGAGGUGAGUGGAAUUCCCAGUGUAGCGGUGAAAUGCGUAGAUAUUGGGAAGAACACCAGUGGCGAAGGCGGCUCACUGGCCCGGUACUGACGCUGAGAUACGAAAGCGUGGGGAGCAACAGG
rnacentral:rRNA from 1 species